UUUUCUCGUGUUUAAUUGUUGCUGCCCUAUUCGUUCCCCACGAAUGUAAGUUUUUUCUUUUCGAUUUUUGUUUUUAUUUAAAUAAUAUUGAAAAUAAAAAUGAACUUACUAAAAUUUAGUGAAUUUUCUUCGAUUUUGAUUUUGCAGGUGUCGAAAAUAACAGCGAAAAAUUUGCAAGAGUUGGUGGAGAUAAACAGUUGAAUGCAUGCGGCACUUCGAUUUGUGGACACGGUCAUACGUGCUGGUGCUGUAAAAUUGAUACCAUAUGUUAUGGUUAUGAAGCAUUGUGUAUUCAGAAUUGCCAAAUACCUAAAUUUCCUAGGAAAAUUGUGUCUUAAAAUUUCAUUUCAUUGUUCCAUGUAUGAAUAAAAUUUUAUUGUUUGGAG
rnacentral:lncRNA from 1 species